CAUAAAUACCUUAUAGCGAUCGCGUAUCAUAGAAGGGAACAUAUUCGCCAACACGCAGUGGACCAGCGUGGUGGAUUAAGUUCUAAUCCUUCUUCUGCAUGGAUAAUAUAUAGUGGGAUAUUACA